CUACUAAAAAAAACAGGAUUUCCCGACCUCAAAAAGCUGACCUCAUUUGAGGUCAGAAAAAAACCGACCUCAUGAGGUCGGUAAAGUCAUAAUAAUUAUUUUUUAAUUUUUUUAAAAAUAAACCAAUCUCAUGAGGUCAGUAAUAUUGUACCAAAAUUUGAAAAAAUAAUUUACCGAUCUCAUGAGCUCCGGAAAAUUAGUCAUAAAAUUAAAACAUACAGAUCACCCAAAUAAACAUUUCUCUCUUUCCUCUCAACUUUUCUCUCCCUCUCUCUCUCUAACCCUAACCUACUAACGCCAUCGACGUCGCCAAAUUCCUGCCAGUCACCGUCGUCACCGCAGCCCCUACCCAGUCCCGCCUUUGCCGUCGCCGUCGCCGUCGACGGCGAACCAUUGGAGAAUCAAUAUCAACAUUCAAAGGCCGAGUUUCUUCGUACUCUGCGAUCCAACACACAGCUGACAGAAGAACAAAUAGAGGAAAGGUGACUUGAGAGUGUUGUUGGUCCCACUAGGUUUGGCAUAGCUUACGGAAUGCCACAUAGUGUAGACUAGUUUAAUGUUUUGUGGAUGUUUGCAAAUGUUGAAGUAGUUUAAUGUUUGUUUUGAUGUUUGCGAAGGUUGAAGUAGCUUAAUGUCUCUUGUGAAUGUUUGAUUGAUGUUUUUGUUCAACUUUGAAGUAGUUUCGAAUUGAAUUUGAUGUAUUGAUGGUUGUAAUAUAUGUGUUGUAAUAGUAGCUUAAUGUUUUAUGUAUUUAUAGUAGUUUGGUA